AUUGAACGCUGGCGGCAGGCCUAACACAUGCAAGUCGAACGGUAACAGGAAGAAGCUUGCUUCUUUGCUGACGAGUGGCGGACGGGUGAGUAAUGUCUGGGAAACUGCCUGAUGGAGGGGGAUAACUACUGGAAACGGUAGCUAAUACCGCAUAACGUCGCAAGACCAAAGAGGGGGACCUUCGGGCCUCUUGCCAUCGGAUGUGCCCCGAUGGGAUUAGCUAGUAGGGGGGGUAACGGCUCACCUAGGCGACGAUCCCUAGCUGGUCUGAGAGGAUGACCAGCCACUCUGGAAGUGAGACGCGGUCCAGACUCCUACGGGAGGCAGCAGGGGGGAAUAGUGCACAAGGGGCGCAAGCCUGAUGCAGCCAUGCCGCGUGUAUGAAGAAGGCCUUCGGGUUGUAAAGUACUUUCAGCGGGGAGGAAGGGAGUAAAGUUAAUACCGUUGCUCAGUGACGUUACCCGCAGAAGAAGCACCGGCUAACUCCG
rnacentral:rRNA from 1 species